rnacentral:rRNA from 1 species
GACGAACGCUGGCGGCGCGCCUAACACAUGCAAGUCGAACGGAGUUGCAUUGAAAGCUUGCUGGAUAUGUAACUUAGUGGCGGACGGGUGAGUAACACGUGAGUAAUCUGCCUUCCAGAGGGGAAUAACGUUUGGAAACGAACGCUAAUACCGCAUAACGUGCGGUCCUCGCAUGGAGAUGAUAUCAAAGGAGCAAUCCGCUUUAAGAUGGACUCGCGUCCAAUUAGCUAGUUGGUGAGGUAACGGCCCACCAAGGCGACGAUUGGUAGCCGGACUGAGAGGUUGAACGGCCACAUUGGGACUGAGACACGGCCCAG